CCCAGUCGCUGAUAGGGCGGUGUGAGAAGCAGAAAAGGCCUUGACUCUGUGUAAGCCCUGCUGAGCAGUAACUAAAACAUCCCUGCUUUAUCAACACUGUUUCCAGCACAAAUCCAAAACACAGCCCCAUACUAGCUACUGUGAAGAAAAUUAACUCUACCCCAGCCAAAACCAGCACAGAAGGAAAAACAGUUUCAGACUUGCAAGGAGGAUGAUGCAAUUUGGGACUUCAGUUGGGCUCAUUAUAACUAUGCACAACAGUUAGCCUUUGCUGGCUGUGCACUUCGCAGCGACACAGGAAGCAAGAGUUUUUCUUGAGCAGAUGAGAGCUACUCGUUUAUGAGUUCCAAGUGAAGCAGCAUGGACCUGGUUGAUAUGGAGAAGCUCAAAAACCAUCUUGAUGUUCCUACAUGGGAUUAGAUCACCAAAAAAAAAAAAAAACAAACAACCAAACAAGAAAAAGCUGUGAAGGUACUGUGCUCUGGUAUAGAGUUGAAAUUGUUCUGCGAAACUCAUGAACCUCAAUUGGGGAUGAAGAAUAAAAGUGUUUGUGAAGGCUAUCACUCGAUGUUCUAAGUACUGGGCUUCUGGAAGCAUUCUAAAACUUAAUUUUGACAGGAUUAAUUUUUUAGUGGAAUCAUUCCAUGCUGUGUGUACUCUCAGAAAAAGAUUAUAUUCACAUAUGGUCAUGUAUGUGCACGCAUUCUCUAAUGACCACGUAAAUACACAAGGAUGGGGUCACCUGUGAAAAUCUCUCACGGUACUGUUUCUUUGGAACAUCUGCUAGCAAGACUGGGAAGGAAGCAGAUGACAAGUGACUUUUCGGUUAAUGUACUUAUACUUACAAGUCUAUGCCUUCAGAUAUUGGGAGACAGAAUCCAAAAUGUUUUGACUUCUUUUCCUCUUGACUUGACCUUGAAAUGUGUCUGGUAAAAUCUCCUAGAAGGAAAAACAAUCCAAGUUCCCUUAUUCCAAUGUGAAUUUUUCUUCCAAAUAAAACGUUUCAU